AGAUAUUAGAUAAGGUACAGCCCUAGACAAGAUAUCAGACAAGGUGCAGCCUUAGACAGGAUAUCAGACAAGGUACAGUCCUAGACAAGAUAUCAGACAAUGAACAAGUCUAGACAAGAUAUCAGACAUGGUACAAGUCUGGACAAGAUAUCAGACAUGGUACAGUCCUAGACAGGAUAUCAGACAAGGUACAGUCCUAGACAGGAUACCAGACAAGGUACAGUACUAGACAGGAUACCAGACAAGGUACAGUUCUAGACAAGAUAUCAGACAAGGUACAGCCUUAGACAAGAUAUCAAACAAGGUACAAGUCUAUACAAGAUAUCAGACAAGGUACAGCCCUAGACAAG